AAUAGAUACCCUGGUAGUCCACGCCGUAAACGAUGAGUGCUAAGUGUUGUGGGGUUUCCGCCCCUCAGUGCUGCAGCUAACGCAUUAAGCACUCCGCCUGGGGAGUACGGUCGCAAGACUGAAACUCAAAGGAAUUGACGGGGGCCCGCACAAGCGGUGGAGCAUGUGGUUUAAUUCGAAGCAACGCGAAGAACCUUACCAGGUCUUGACAUCCCGGUGACCACUAUGGAGACAUAGUUUCCCCUUCGGGGGCAACGGUGACAGGUGGUGCAUGGUUGUCGUCAGCUCGUGUCGUGAGAUGUUGGGUUAAGUCCCGCAACGAGCGCAACCCUUAUUCUUAGUUGCCAUCAUUCAGUUGGGCACUCUAAGGAGACUGCCGGUGAUAAACCGGAGGAAGGUGGGGAUGGACGUCAAAUCAUCAUGCCCCUUAUGACCUGGGCUACACACGUGCUACAAUGGACGGUACAAACGGUUGCCAACCCGCGAGGGGGAGCUAAUCCGAUAAAACCGUUCUCAGUUCGGAUUGUAGGCUGCAACUCGCCUAC
rnacentral:rRNA from 1 species